GGGGCUAUAGCUCAGUGGUAGAGUGCCUGCCUUGCACGUAUGAGGCACUGGGUUCAAUCCUCAGUACCACA
rnacentral:tRNA from 1 species